rnacentral:misc_RNA from 1 species
AAUUCUCAACCUUUACUAGCUUUUUGUGAGCUAUGUAAUGGCUUGGAUGUGGGGGUCUUUUUGCUGGCUUCGAAAGAAAUCAGCUCCCCUGAAAUAUAUUAGCUGGUGCCCCCGCGUGGACCGUCUACUGGUGUGAUAAUUAUCUAUGCCGUUAGAUGUCUGCUUUAAAUAAUGGGGAUGCGCUGCUUCUAAUCGUCCACUUAGGACAAUUAUUGACU